UCAUCAUCAUCAUCAUCAUCAUGAAGCUGUUUGGUUCAGGUCGCCCGUCCUUGACCCUCUGCUUCGUGCGCCGGGCUUUCUGGAAGUUUCAGUGAUUUGCCGCGGCGUGCGCUUCAUCGAAUCCCUCAGAGGGCCUUUCACCUGUCUCCUAGCAGCUCCCAGAAUGCAACAGUGCACAGGACGACACACGCCUGGCAAUUAGAGGAAUGGAAACUGGAGUGCUCUUCUGAGAGCCGAAAUAAUUGGAUGUUGGAGAGCUCAUAGAAGCACAAAAAGACAAGAACAACAGUCAGAGGAUGUGGAAAACUAACUUGAUAUAAACACUAGACGACACUUGUUGAUGGAGGGCGGCGGAUUCUGGAUUUAGAAGAAAACCUUUAUCGCAUCCCAGCGCCCUUGAAACGGAUGACAUCGAUUGUGCAGCCAGAAGAUUUCCGACCCCUCCUGCCCCAGAGGACGAUCAAUGGACCCGCACACGGCUCCCUGAACAUCAGCAGAGGAUUAAACAAUCUCCCAACACAACACAAUUAACUCCACUAUACCGCACAUCAAUAUUUAGGAACAAACUACAGAUUGCAUGUCUAGAAAAUGCUUAGAUUUUUGUAAACGGCAUAGAAAUAUAAAAAGGAAACUAAAGCCAAAAACGAAAAUGUAAUCAUUAAUUACUCACCCUUAUGUCUUUCCAAAACCUUAAAGGGUUACU